CUCAGAUUGAACGCUGGCGGCAGGCCUAACACAUGCAAGUCGAGCGGUAACAGAGAGUAGCUUGCUACUUUGCUGACGAGCGGCGGACGGGUGAGUAAUGCUUGGGAACAUGCCUUGAGGUGGGGGACAACAGUUGGAAACGACUGCUAAUACCGCAUAAUGUCUACGGACCAAAGGGGGCUUCGGCUCUCGCCUUUAGAUUGGCCCAAGUGGGAUUAGCUAGUUGGUGAGGUAAUGGCUCACCAAGGCGACGAUCCCUAGCUGGUUUGAGAGGAUGAUCAGCCACACUGGGACUGAGACACGGCCCAGACUCCUACGGGAGGCAGCAGUGGGGAAUAUUGCACAAUGGGCGCAAGCCUGAUGCAGCCAUGCCGCGUGUGUGAAGAAGGCCUUCGGGUUGUAAAGUACUUUCAGUUGUGAGGAGGGGUAACGGUUAAUAGCGUUAUCUCUUGACGUUAGCAACAGAAGAAGCACCGGAGUU
rnacentral:rRNA from 1 species